rnacentral:tRNA from 1 species
UGCCCCAUGGCUGAGUUGGUUACAGCGUCCGACUGUUAAGUCUAUCACAAUCGGAAGGUCGAGAGUUCGAGCCUCUCUGGGGCAG